GCCUCUAUAGCUCAGUGGUAGAGUGUCAGUCUUGUAAACUGAAGGCCUGGAGUUCAAUCCUCCAUGGAGGCA
rnacentral:tRNA from 1 species